rnacentral:rRNA from 1 species
AGAAUCAACGCUGGCGGCGUGCCUAACACAUGCAAGUCGAACGAGAAAGUGGGAGCAACCCCAUUAGUAAAGUGGCGCACGGGUGAGUAACACGUGACUAACCUACCCUUGAGUGGGGGGAUAACCUAGGGAAACCUGGGCUAAUACCGCAUAAUACCUACGGGUCAAAGGAGCAAUUCGCUUUAGGAGGGGGUCGCGGCAGAUUAGUUAGUUGGCGGGGUAAUGGCCCACCAAGACAGUGAUCUGUAUCCGGCCUGAGAGGGCGCACGGACACACUGGAACUGAAACACGGUCCAGACUCCUACGGGAGGCAGCAGUGGGGAAUUUGCGCAAUGGGGGAAACCCUGACGCAGCAACGCCGCGUGGAGGAUGAAGCCCUUGGGGCGUAAACUCCUUUCGAUCGGGAAGAUAAUGACGGUACCGGAAGAAGAAGCCCGGCUAACUUCGUGCCAGCAGCCG